rnacentral:rRNA from 1 species
GCAUCCUGGGGCUGGAGUCGGUCCCAAGGGUUGGGCUGUUCGCCCAUUAAAGCGGUACGCGAGCUGGGUUUAGAACGUCGUGAGACAGUUCGGUCCCUAUCCUCUGUGCGCGUAGGAAUAUUGAGAAGGGCUGUCCCUAGUACGAGAGGACCGGGACGGACGAACCUCUGGUGUGCCAGUUGUCCUGCCAAGGGCAUGGCUGGUUGGCUACGUUCGGAAAGGAUAACCGCUGAAAGCAUCUAAGCGGGAAGCCUGCUUCGAGAUGAGUAUUCCCACCCCCUUUGAGGGGUUAAGGCUCCCAGUAGACGACUGGGUUGAUAGGCCAGAUCUGGAAGCCCGGUAACGGGUGGAGGUGACUGGUACUAAUAGGCCGAGGGCUUGUCCUCAGUUG